GACGAACGCUGGCGGCGUGCUUAACACAUGCAAGUCGAACGGAAAGGCCCUGCUUUUGUGGGGUUCUCGAGAGGCGCACGGGUGAGUAACACGUGAGUAACCCCCCCCUGUCUUUGGGAUAACUUCAGGAAACUGGGGCUAAUACCGGAUAUGAGCUCCUGCUGCAUGGUGGGGGUUGGUAAGUUUCGGUGGUUCGGGAUGGACUCGCGGCUUAUCAGCUUGUUUGUGGGGUUGUGGCGUAACAAGGCUUUGACGGGUAGCCGGCCUGAGAGGGGUACCGGCGACAUGGGGACUGAGAGACGCACCAGAAUCCUACGGGAGGCAGCAGUGGGGAAUAUUGCACAAUGGGCGGAAGCCUGAUGCAGCAACGCCGCGUUCGGGAUGACGGCCUUCGGGUGGUAAACCGCUUUCGCCUGUGACGAAGCGGGAGUGACGGUAAUGGGUAAAGAAGCAACGGCUAACUACGUG
rnacentral:rRNA from 1 species